GAAGAACCCUGUCCUUCCCCCCUCUCUCUCUGUGUCUGGAUCUCUUUCUCCCACUUCCUUUCAUCUCUGGGAGACUCCGAGGAUUCUUCGUCUGAGAUCUCUGGCGUUUGGGCUUCGCACCAAAUCGCCCAUUUCAUCCGCCCUCGCUUUUUGCAAUUUCUCACAGAUCCGGAGCUCUGAUCCAUUAUCUUUGAUCUCGCCAUCAUGGCGGCUGCCAAUGCUCCCAUCACCAUGAAAGAGACCCUUACGUUGCAAAGUAUAGGGGUGAACCCGCAGUUCAUCACAUUCACUAAUGUUACCAUGGAAUCGGAUAAGUAUAUAUGUGUAAGGGAGACGUCGCCUCAGAAUAGUGUGGUGAUUAUUGAUAUGAACAUGCCAAUGCAACCUUUGAGGCGUCCAAUUACGGCUGAUUCUGCUCUUAUGAAUCCUAAUUCUAGAAUUUUGGCUCUAAAAGCUCAAGUUCCUGGAACCAGUCAAGAUCACUUGCAGAUUUUCAAUAUUGAGGCAAAACAGAAAAUAAAAUCAUAUCAGAUGCCUGAGCAGGUUGUUUUCUGGAAGUGGAUUACCCCUAAGAUGUUAGGUCUCGUCACACAAACCUCAGUGUACCAUUGGCCAAUUGAAGGUGAUUCCGAGCCUGUAAAGAUGUUUGAUAGAACGGCCAAUUUAGCCAACAACCAAAUAAUCAACUACCGAUGUGAUCCUUCUGAGAAAUGGUUGGUUUUGAUUGGUAUUGCCCCAGGUUCACCAGAGAGGCCUCAACUGGUCAAAGGAAACAUGCAAUUAUUUUCAGUGGAUCAGCAACGCAGUCAAGCUCUUGAGGCUCAUGCUGCGUCAUUUGCCUCAAUAAGAGUACCUGGGAAUGAUAGGGAUUCCAUACUCAUUUCUUUUGCCUCGAAAACUUCAAAUGCUGGGCAGGUUACAUCAAAGUUGCAUGUCAUUGAGCUUGGAGCCCAGCCUGGCAAACCAUCUUUUACGAAGAAACAGGCAGAUCUCUUCUUUCCUCCAGAUUUUGCUGACGAUUUCCCAGUUGCCAUGCAGAUAUCUCAUAAAUACAGUUUAAUUUAUGUCAUCACAAAGCUUGGGCUUCUCUUUGUCUAUGACCUCGAAACAGCUACUGCAGUGUACAGAAAUAGGAUCAGCCCAGAUCCUAUUUUUCUGACAGCAGAAGCUUCAUCUAUUGGUGGUUUCUAUGCCAUCAACAGGCGAGGCCAAGUGUUGCUAGCCACAGUAAAUGAAGCAACAAUUAUUCCUUUUAUCAGUGGCCAAUUGAAUAAUCUAGAGCUUGCUGUCAAUCUUGCCAAA
rnacentral:misc_RNA from 1 species